UUGCCGGGGUACAGAGCCACACGGUGCCGAGGCUGUGGACGGGCAUGACGAGGCUCACCACUCAGACUUGUUUUAGUUCAGCUCGCCGCCCACGCACAGGAGAAUGAAAUCUUCUGUUUGUCAAUUACAUUUAUUUUUUCAUAUUUCGUCACAUUGCGGUGCCGUGUGACCCUGGUUGCUCAGCGCCCUGGUGAUCGCUAUUCGCUCAGCUGGACUUCUCCCGCGGCAGGGGAGGCAGGGCCGGGAGGUGCUGGCCUCGCAGGAAAAGACGGCUCGUGACCUCUCGGCGAUAACUGCACGCCGGUGUGAGCGAGGCACGCCGCUGAAGUAAAGGGCGCUGAGGAAUACAUGGGCUGCAGGCCUACAGGCCAAAACCCUGGCCCAAGCCUCUGCAAGGCGGCAGUGAACUGCUUAAAGACUAGUACAUUUCUGGCUACAGUAAUCAUCAACACACCAAGGGAAAAAAGACAUCAGUGAACAAAAUGGCAUGGAAAUCAACCCGAGCAUGGCACAGUAUCAUGCACUGUGUGACACUGGAGUAUUCAGAGGCACAAUAUUAACUGAAGGUAUGCACAGUAUUCAGAGGCACAAUAUUAACUGAAGGUGUGCACAGUAUUCAGAGGCACAAUAUUAACUGAAGGUAUGCACAGUAUUCAGAGGCACAAUAUUAACUGAAGGUAUGCACAGUAUUCAGAGGCACAAUAUUAACUGAAGGUAUGCACAGUAUUCAGAGGCACAAUAUUAACUAAAGGUGUGCACAGUAUUCAGAGGCACAAUAUUAACUAAAGGUGUGCACAGUAUUCAGAGGCACAAUAUUAACUGAAGGUGUGCACAGUAUUCAGAGGCACAAUAUUAACUAAAGGUGUGCACAGUAUUCAGAGGCACAAUAUUAACUAAAGGUGUGCACAGUAUUCAGAGGCACAAUAUUAACUAAAGGUGUGCACAGUAUAAUUGGA